GCUGCGAAGACAAAAAUUCGGAUUAUAUUUGUCAUUUUAUUUGUCACUGACUUUCUACCGUUUAGUAAAUACUGCGCGCUGUUGUGGAAUGCACUAGACACCGUUAUUGAAAUUUUCCAGGCAUUUAUACUGAGCGCAGAAGCUCGAUCUACAUGUUUACUAAAAAUAUUCAUAGCUUUUUUAAUUUAUUGCAAUCGCUUUAAUUGAUAGCCUAAUGAAUGAACGCCGAAAAAAAUACAAAACUGACGGGUAAAGGUUAAGGUCACUAUGACGCGAAUGCAGAGGGGCCAAUAGGGGGUGUGGACCCCAAACAAUUGUUAGGAUCAAGAAUGUAAUAGUACUCGUAUCUAUUAAAUUUGUGUUAUUCUAUUAAUAAAUUGGUGAAAGGUAUUUUCGCUAAUAAUAACGGAGUUUUGAUACAUUUUCGAUAGUAUAACGCUUCAAGUCAUUCAAAAUUAGAGUUUGUUUCCAACUUCACCCCUAAGUUUAGUGAGUAUUUUUUAAACAACCCAUUUUUUUAGUCUGGGAAGGAGGAAAUAGUCACUAGGGGUCCUACCUGUCGAAAUCAUAAUUAUGCCGUGGCACAAGAUGAAUGAGCCAGAGUUUUGUCUUGGUGAAAAAGCAUGUCAUGAAAGAGAUGGUAUACCAGUUGAGGCUACAACGCUAAGAGAACUUUUUAUUUGUUUCGCGAUCUAUCGAUGAUACCAAAGACUUUUCAGACCCGAUAAAAAAGGAAUAUUCAAAUGUCAUCAACUUUAAGAAACUUAUAAUUUGUUUAAUUUUAUUUUUAAUUUUUGCAACAGAGUUCCCUUGUAUAAAACGUUUGGAGACGACACUGGGCAAAGUCAGCAAAGGCAGAUACUACAGUUUAUGUUGUGCAAAUUCAGCUAAUCUACAAUAAUUAAAUUAUAUGUAAUGACAAUAAUUUAACUAUUACAUCGUAAUACUAUUCGCAAGAUGCGGAUUUUUUGUUUUGUAAAAGCAGUGUUAUCAUUUAAUUAAUAUUUCGCAUAUACAUUUAAAUGAAAGUAAAACUUUCUACAAUUCAAGCAGACUUCGGUUUGAAAUUUUACAGCCCGCAGCAACUAAACGGCAACGUUUUACCAUAUAAAUACUAUUUUGUUUCUAUUCAACUCCUUUCUAGAACAAUUCCAGUUUUCAAAAACAAUGUUUGUUCGCUCUCUUAAUAAUUUUAUCAACCUUUACUAUAACUUCCAAAUUAUUUAAAACAAUCUGUGACCGAAAGAAGUUUUAUCGCUUCGACGCUCAUUCUUUAUCUUCUUUUCUUCUUCAAUUCUUAUCUUCUUCGGCGGCUGAGAGUGCUUUUACAUAAAAUUCGAAUUCAUCCACCAGAUAGUGUAAGUAUUCUUUGUAACGUUUAUUCCAAUACAACACGGCUCUUAAGAGCAUCCCAUAUUACCUGCUGUUGCUGUGUUAGUGGUUCGGCCUUUUAAGUAUAUAACCGAUUAAAUCUGUAGAAUCGCUGAAUCACAGCAUCUUUAUCGCCAGCAAAGAACAAGCAAUUUGCCAAUUUGGUCGGCAGUCAGAACCUUAUUUAAGCUUCUUUACAGUUCUUCCCAUAUAUUUUAAGUAUACUUUUUUCUUGCUCCAUAGAUUCACUAUCUACACUAUUCAUAUUAGAUCCAGCAAGCACAUCUGUGACUACUUGAUUGGUUCGUUGCCGACGAAAGUUUUGAAAAUUUAUCGAGCUGUUAUUGAACGCCUCCUCAAAGCUGUUGUGACCGUUUGGCAAAGCAUUUUCAGCUACUGAGUUAUCAUUGUUGUUCUGGUUGACAUAGUAUUAUCAUCCACUUAUUCCGAAGAUAAACUCAUUAAGCAUGAAGCAAGCGGAGACAAAGAGAAGAAUAUUUAAUUUAAUAAAUAACUAUAACAUUUUUUGUUUAUUUUGCAAACCUGUAUUAGUAACAGCAACACUUUGCAUUCAAAGUACGAAGUGCGCCUAAACAUUUUCACUUUUUGAGCUGUACAGAAAGCGAUCUUUCAAGUUCCGAUGCACACUAAAUGCGUAACAAGCUUACUAAAGUUCGACAAGAAAUAAGAGGAGUUCAAGUUUAUAACGGUACAUGAUAAAGGACGACUCAGAAGAAAAACAACAAUUAAGUGUCUAUAUACGAACAUUAGGGUGUUCGUUAUUUACAAAGUGGGUUUGUUUUCUGCAAACACCUCUUAAGUUUCAGUUUUUGCUCUAAAAAAA